CAGCCGCCACGGUAAUACGAGGGGGGCAAGCGUUGUUCGGAAUUAUUGGGCGUAAAGGGUGCGUAGGCGGUUUGAUAAGUCUUGUGUGAAAUCUAUGGGCUCAACCCAUAGUCUGCACAGGAAACUGUCGGGCUUGAGAGUGGGAGAGGUGAGUGGAAUUUCCGGUGCAGCGAUGAAAUGCGUAGAUAUCGGAAGGAACACCUGUGGCGAAAGCGGCUCACUGGACCAUCUCUGACGCUGAUGCACGAAAGCUAGGGGAGCAAACAGGAUUAGAUACCCGCGUAGUCCCUGUCUCUUAUAC
rnacentral:rRNA from 1 species